rnacentral:rRNA from 1 species
AACGAACGCUGGCGGCAUGCCUAACACAUGCAAGUCGAACGAGGACCUUCGGGUCUAGUGGCGCACGGGUGCGUAACGCGUGGGAAUCUGCCCUUGGGUUCGGAAUAACUCAGAGAAAUUUGAGCUAAUACCGGAUGAUGACGUAAGUCCAAAGAUUUAUCGCCCAAGGAUGAGCCCGCGUAAGAUUAGCUUGUUGGUAGGGUAAUGGCCUACCAAGGCGACGAUCUUUAGCUGGUCUGAGAGGAUGAUCAGCCACACUGGGACUGAGACACGGCCCAGACUCCUACGGGAGGCAGCAGUGGGGAAUAUUGCGCAAUGGGGGAAACCCUGACGCAGCGACGCCGCGUGAGCGAAGAAGGCCUUAGGGUCGUAAAGCUCUGUUGUAAGGGACGAAUGUUUAUCUGACGAACAGUCAGAUAAAGUGACGGUACCUUACCAGCAAGCCCCGGCUAACUACGUG